rnacentral:rRNA from 1 species
CCUACGGGAGGCAGCAGUGGGGAAUAUUGGGCAAUGGGCGCAAGCCUGACCCAGCAACGCCGCGUGAAGGAAGAAGGCUUUCGGGUUGUAAACUUCUUUUAAGAGGGAAGAGCAGAAGACGGUACCUCUUGAAUAAGCCACGGCUAACUAAGUGCCAGCAGCCGCGGUAAUACGUAGGUGGCAAGCGUUGUCCGGAUUUACUGGGUGGAAAGGGCGUGCAGCCGGGAAGUCAAGUCAGAUGUGAAAUCCCGCGGCUCAACCUAGGAACUACAUUUGAAACUGUUUGUCUUGAGUACCGGAGAGGUCAUCGGAAUUCCUUGUGUAGCGGUGAAAUGCGUAGAUAUAAGGAAGAACACCAGUGGCGAAGGCGGAUGACUGGACGGCAACUGACGGUGAGGCGCGAAAGCGUGGGGAGCAAACAGGAUUAGAUACCCUUGUAGUC